AUUUUUAAAAUUAUUAGAAAUUAGAAAUGUGCCUUUUUUUUGUCCGAUUUUGUUUUUUGGUAUUUUUUGAUGUAUAGAUUUUGAGAGUUUUUUAUCUUUAUUUUGAUGAGAAUUGACAUACGUAUGCUAAAAUAUGUUUUGGAGGCAAAUUUAGAGAGUUGGCACUCCAAUUAAUGUGAGAUAUGCUUUUGGGUUGAAAUGUACCAGAAAGUGUGGUGCAAAUAAAGCAAACACACACUAACACAUUGGUCACAAAGUUUAUUUACAGACCAGAGCGAGGUUAUAGCCAUUACAUAUAUAUGUGUGUGCAUAUAUAUUUAUAUAUAUAUGCAGUAGUUGCUUAAUAGUCUUGAACUAAAUCUAAUAGAUCUUGUCCAUCCACGAAGCAAAAGGGACCUACUGCACAGUCGGAACAGCCCACCACGUACGGUUCCCAAGUCGGUGGAACGUAAACAUAACAAUGCAGUGAAAUCAAUCAAAACUGGUGAUCUUACUCAGAACGCAAAACGGCGACGUUGAACUCAGGCGCUGAAGUAAUUGCGGGGUGAGAAGAGGCGACGAGGUGAGAACAUGCCGGUGUAGCGCGGCGAGGCGAGGCUAUUGAUGGGUCUAUAAUCAGGCAUGAUGAAGGAUUCACGUUCCUCGCGGCCCACACCUCUGCUGUUGAGUCCAUUGAAGGUGCUAUACCUCACCAGCUUCCCCAUCCACGACUUCUUCUUCGUGGGGCUCUGAUGGCCCGCGUUCAUCUUCUGGCACAGGUACUCCUUCACCGCAUGCAAUCCCUGCUCCAUCACUUCCGGCGGCGGCGAACUCAGAGGGUUCCCUUCCACGCUCAGCUUGUGCAACUUCUUCAGGCACCCAACGGAGUCCGGCAAUGAUCUGAUCUUGUUGUAGCUGACGUCUAGUUCCACCAGGGAUAGGAGGAGCCCCACCGAGUAGGGUAGAGAAUCCAGGUACUGGAAGUUCUGGCUCACAUUCAGAGUUUCUAGGUUUAUCAGGUUCUCGAGAUCUUCUGGGAGAGAUCUCAGGCAGUUCAAACGCACGUCCAGAAUCUUCAGAGCGGUCAGAUGAGAGGUCGAGCGAGGAAGGAACACCAGCUUGUUAGAGUUCACCGAUAGCUUCUUCAGGUUUAUCAGCUCGUACCCUAUGUUCUCUGGAAGCUGGAUCAACUUGUUGAAGUUCGCAUUCAGUUCUUCUAAGCUUCUGCUAAUUCAAAAGUCAUAAUGUAUUAGCCACAGAAAAUGGUAAUCACAAUUUUCUUAACCUUUCUUAACAAAAAUGUUUUCCAUAAGUACCAAACAGUUAACUGCACAUUUAAGGUUGUCUGUGAAAUAUAUACAUAUCACUGAUGCCUGUUGGUCGUUGAUUUUGAUUUUGUUUGUAGCGCUCCUUACUCUAGUUUGGUCAAUAACUACAUAUAUACUCGCGUAACUCAUGCAUGCAUGUCUCCAAAAAUUACAACGUAAUUGAUAAUGUUAGGUUUUGAAGGAUAAGAGUAUUAUGUGGUUGUUGAUGUGUUGAUUGGAUUGUGCUUUCAUUUGAACGAGGGUAUGCAAAUAUCUAUUGUCUAUUUGUCGUUUGGUGAUGAUGUCCGGUGGAUUCUUGUAACUAGGAAAACGAUGUUUGAGCGAAUACUAUUGUUUUAGAAACUUGUUGGAAGAAUAAUGGUUUUCCACGGAAUUAUCACUUAUUGAUUGACUUUCUCUCCCGUUGUUUUAAGAAUUUUGUAUUGGCCUGUGUCCUCCACCUUUUGUUGUUUUUAAGCUAGUCAAUUAGGUAAUAAUGACACCCAAAGAAAACGAAGGAUUUUGAUUUUUGCCCGCUAUUUGUGACAACGGCCCACAAUGAAUGCUUAGAAAUUCUAUUUUUUACGAUUGAUUUUCUAAAUAGAAUAACGACUCGUGUACGUUGAAUAAAGUUUAAAUAUAUUUAAGGCUACACUUUUUUCCCCUUAUAUUAUCUUCACAUAUAUUUUAUUAAAUGGGUAGGUAUAUUUUUAAUCAGUAGACAUUAAUAAUCAAUUAUUUAUAACGCUUUCAAAUCUACUCCUGACGUGGAAUUUCAUUAUUCUUACACAUAUCCUUGAUGCCCUAGCCAGUAGUAUCAAGAACAGGUAAAAUAAAAUAAAAUAAAAACACACAUACAACAGAAAUUAAACUUCAUCAUAGCAGGGAAAGCAAGUUACUGAAGUGCUUUAGAACUGUUUUGUGCACUAUGUGUUGUUUAACUAACGUAAAGGUGGAAAGCAAGUGUAUGACUCAAACUAAAAUGGAAUCAUCAAGACGUUUGUGUCCAGAAUUAAUUAGUUAAAUUUAUUAUUAAACUGUUAUUAGAUUUGACUAAUACAAUAUUUAAAUUGAAAACAUACACAUAAUCAAUUAUUGGUUUUAAUUAAAACACGGACUUGAUAAUAUACAUGUUUCUUGUACCUAUGAAGAAAAAUGUAUAGAAUUAAUUAAUUUGUUAGGAAACGUAGAAAGAGAUGUUAAGAGAUGAACCUGCAAUUUUCAAUUGUUUUGGGAAGGUAUUCGAUGAGGUUGCCAGAGACAUUCAAAACCUUGAGCUUUGAGAGGCAACCAAUGGAGUUGGGAAGGUACCUAAGCUGAUUGGAGUGCACGUCCAACACCACCAUGUUCAGCAGUCUCGCUGUUAAGGACUCUGGUAUAUUCUGAAGAUUGUUAUUAGAGAGGUCCAACUUGCAAAUGGUGGCUAAAUUAAGAGAGGGGUUGGGAAGGGAAUCCAAGGACAUGCCACUCAAGUCUACUAUUUCAAGCCUCUCUUCCUCUACGGCUUUCCUUCUCUCGGUUUUCUUUCUCAAAUCGACCUUCACAGACAUGGGCUGCUGAAAACGUUGCUGUUGCUCGUACAUCAUCUUGUACCACCAAAUAAAUGAAAUACAGCAACAGAGUAGAUACUAAAAUCUGUGUUGUGUUGUUUUGUUUUUCAAUAUGAAAUGGUAGGCCUGAAAAGAAAGAGAGAGAAUGGGGGAAGGGAAUGGAUUGAAGGGUGGAAAAAAGAAGGGAGUGGUUGGGUUUAUAUGGAGAAAGGAAAGAGGAUGUACGGAGGAGAAGGAAGAGAAGAGCGGAGAGUGCGGGCCACAUGUAAG
rnacentral:sRNA from 1 species